UUGACCUCGAAUCAGGUAGGGAUACCCGCUGAACUUAAGCAUAUCAAUAAGCGGAGGAAAAGAAACCAACCGGGAUUACCCUAGUAACGGCGAGUGAAGCGGUAACAGCUCAAAUUUGAAAUCUGGCUCCCUGCGGAGUCCGAGUUGUAAUUUGUAGAAGAUGCUUUGGGUGCUCGGCCCGGUCUAAGUUCCUUGGAACAGGACGUCGUAGAGGGUGAGAAUCCCGUAUGCGGCCGGGGUGGGUGCUCGUGUAAAGCUCUUUCGACGAGUCGAGUUGUUUGGGAAUGCAGCUCAAAAUGGGUGGUAAAUUUCAUCUAAAGCUAAAUAUGGGCCAGAGACCGAUAGCGCACAAGUAGAGUGAUCGAAAGAUGAAAAGCACUUUGGAAAGAGAGUUAAACAGUACGUGAAAUUGUUGAAAGGGAAGCGCUUGCAACCAGACUUGGGCGUCGCUGAUCAUCCAAAGUUUUCUUUGGUGCACUCGACGACGUACAGGCCAGCAUCGGUUGGGGUGGUGGGAGAAAGGUUGUA
rnacentral:rRNA from 1 species